rnacentral:rRNA from 1 species
UACGUAGGGUGCAAGCGUUUAUCCGGAAUUAUUGGGCGUAAAGAGCUCGUAGGCGGUUUGUCACGUCUGCUGUGAAAACUGGAGGCUCAACCUCCAGCCUGCAGUGGGUACGGGCAGACUAGAGUGCGGUAAGGGGAGACUGGAAUUCCUGGUGUAGCGGUGAAAUGCGCAGAUAUCAGGAGGAACACCGGUGGCGGAAGGCGGGGUC